AACAUCAGUGUUAUUACCAGCGUGAAGAAAUUUAUACUGAAUCAUCGAAAUGGAAUCUAUGAAAAAAGAUAAUGAACAAAAUCAUGAGAUAAUAGAUAUGAUAUACAUACAAAAGGCAUAAAAAAUGUAUAUGCAUAUAAAAAUAUGAUGUCUGGAGAUACGAUAGUCUCAGCGUUGAAACAAGAACAGCAUCAUGGCCAGAGAUAAAAUAAAUUUUAUCCCAUUUGCAAACAUAAGCACAGUUAAUUGGCAAUGAAGAGCCGAUUCCCCAAGAAAACAUUGGAGAUUUGAUUUUGAACUCAUUUAAAUCUAAACUGAAUUUUAUCGGACAGGCAACAUUUUCAAACAACGAAAAUUACUUUAUGCUAUGCGGAUAAAGAGCACAAGUGAAUGCAAACACGGAAGAGCAACUUACAUUUUAAUAGAUGAGAGAGAAUAGUGUGAAGUGUGUAUUUUAUUUUAAAUUUAACUCCCUGGAAAUUAUUGUGAAUGAUGACUUCGAUAAGAACUAAAUUGACAAGUUUUCCUGUGAAACGAAUAAUAUAAGAGAUACAGCAAUUAGAACAUUUUCGUCUUCUGAAACGGAUUAUUACAAAGGUGGUAAGGUAGAAAUUUCUUACAUAGCAUUUGUAUCUCCGUCAAACAGACAGAUAAAAUUUAUCGCUGUCACAUGUAAAAGUAUGACAUGGUAAAAAGCAAAUCAUUCAACUUAAAGAUCCGUACUAUGAGCAGCGAGU